rnacentral:rRNA from 1 species
GAUGAACGCUAGCUACAGGCUUAACACAUGCAAGUCGAGGGGAAACGAUAUUGGAAGCUUGCUUCCGAUAGGCGUCGACCGGCGCACGGGUGAGUAACGCGUAUCCAACCUGCCCACCACUUGGGAAUAACCUUGCGAAAGUAAGACUAAUGCCCAAUGAUAUCUCUAGAAGACAUCUGAAAGAGAUUAAAGAUUUAUCGGUGAUGGAUGGGGAUGCGUCUGAUUAGCUUGUUGGCGGGGUAACGGCCCACGAAGGCGACGAUCAGUAGGGGUUCUGGGAGGAAGGUCCCCCACAUAGGAACUGAGACACGGUCCAAACUCCUACGGGAGGCAGCAGUGAGGAAUAUUGGUCAAUGGGCGAGAGCCUGAACCAGCCAAGUAGCGUGCAGGAUGACGGCCCUAUGGGUUGUAAACUGCUUUUAUAAGGGAAUAGAGUGAGCCUCGUGAGGCUUUUUGCAUGUACCUUAUGAAUAAGGACCGGCUAAUUCCGUGCCAGCCGCCGCGGUAA